UGGAUCCAAAUAUGAGAGUCAAGUUUUCCACCUUUGACUUCCUCUAUGUGUGAGAUUCAGAACUCACAAUGAUGAUGUGUACUGUUUGAUGGGUGUUCAUACAAUGGUAAAAGUCUCCUCUGUGUGCUGGGUCUUGUUAGUACACUUUUUUUCUUUUUUUUUUUUUUGAGAUGGAGUCUCACAAUGUCGCCUGGGCUGGAGUGCAGUGGUGCGACCUUGGCUCACUGCAACUUCUGCUUCCCGAGUUCAAGCGAUUCUCCUGCCUCAGCCCCCGGAGUAGCUGAAAUUACAGGCGCCUGUGAGGGAUCAGUCAGAAUGGCUUGUUUACUUAUAUUGACCAGGAACUGACCUUUGAUCAUCCACGGG
rnacentral:lncRNA from 10 species